AGAGGUAUAGCUAAAAGGUUAAGGCGACGGUUUUUGAUACUGUUAUUCGUUGGUUCAAGUCCAACUAUCUCUA
rnacentral:tRNA from 1 species